rnacentral:rRNA from 1 species
GUCGAGGGGUAUGGUUCUUCGGAACAGAGACCGGCGCACGGGUGCGUAACGCGUAUGCAAUCUACCUUUUACAGAGGGAUAGCCCAGAGAAAUUUGGAUUAAUACCUCAUAGCAUAGCAGCUUCGCAUGAAGUCACUAUUAAAGUCACAACGGUAAAAGAUGAGCAUGCGUCCCAUUAGCUAGUUGGUAAGGUAACGGCUUACCAAGGCUACGAUGGGUAGGGGUCCUGAGAGGGAGAUCCCCCACACUGGUACUGAGACACGGACCAGACUCCUACGGGAGGCAGCAGUGAGGAAUAUUGGACAAUGGGCGCAAGCCUGAUCCAGCCAUGCCGCGUGCAGGAUGACGGUCCUAUGGAUUGUAAACUGCUUUUAUACGAGAAGAAACACUCCAACGUGUUGGAGCUUGACGGUAUCGUAAGAAUAAGGAUCGGCUAACUCCGUGCCAGCAGCCGCGGUAAUACGGAGGAUCCAAGCGUUAUCCGGAAUCAUUGGGUUUAAAGGGUCCGUAGGCGGUUUAGUAAGUCAGUGGUGAAAGCCCAUCGCUCAACGGUGGAACGGCCAUUGAUACUGCUAAACUUGAAUUAUUAGGAAGUAACUAGAAUAUGUAGUGUAGCGGUGAAAUGCUUAGAGAUUACA